UACGGAGGAUCCAAGCGUUAUCCGGAUUCAUUGGGUUUAAAGGGUGCGUAGGCGGAAUAAUAAGUCAGAGGUGAAAGCCUGCAGCUCAACUGUAGAAUUGCCUUUGAUACUGUUGUUCUUGAAUUCGGUCGGAGUGGGCGGAAUGUGACAUGUAGCGGUGAAAUGCUUAGAUAUGUCACAGAACACCGAUAGCGAAGGCAGCUAACGAAACUAUAACUGACGCUGAGGCACGAAAGUGCGGGGAUCAAACAGG
rnacentral:rRNA from 1 species